rnacentral:misc_RNA from 1 species
GGAGAACACAGACGAGACCUA